GACCUGCCGGACCUGACUGCUAUCUGAUUGGUACUAAGCCAUGCGAGUCGUUGUAGCAAUACAAGGCGGACUGCUCAGUAACACGUAGUUAACUUAACCUAUGGAUGGGCAUAACCUCGGGAAACUGAGAAUAAUACCCAAUGGACCACAGUGCCUGGAAUGGCCUGUGGUUGAAAUGAUUUAUCGCCGUAGGAUAGGACUGCGGCCUAUCAGCUUGUUGGUGAGGUAAUGGCCCACCAAGGCUAUAACAGGUACGGGCUCUGAGAGGAGGGGCCCGGAGAUGGGUACUGAGACACGGACCCAGGCCCUAUGGGGCGCAGCAGGCGAGAAACCUUUGCAAUGUGCGAAAGCACGACAAGGUUAAUCCGAGUGUCUCCUGCUACAGGAGUCUUUUGUCAGUUGUAGAAUCACUGGUGAAUAAGGGGUGGGCAAGUUCUGGUGUCAGCCGCCGCGGUAAAACCAGCACCUCGAGUGGUCAGGAGGUUUAUUGGGCCUACAGCAUCCGUAGCCGGUUGCAUAAGUUUUCGGUUAAUCUAUGCGCUUAACGUAUAGGCCGCCGGAAAAUACUGUGCAGCUAGGGAGUGGGAGAGGUCACGGUACUCGAUAGGAGGGGUAUAUCCUUUGAUCUAUUGAAG
rnacentral:rRNA from 1 species